GUUUGACAUUACCUAUUCUCUCAAAUGUACCUGUGGACAUUUAUGACAAAAACACUUGGUGAAAACUUAGAUUUCUUCAUCUUUCAGGAACUCCUAAUACCCUGAGCAAGUGUGAUGCACAUCAGUGCACCAAGCUGAGGCGGUUCAUUAUCCAAGAGGAGUCUGAGCGAAGAAGGCAUCUGCUUAGAAGCUGCUGUGCUCAAAAUGAGGCUUUCUCCAACGCCGCUGUCAGGGGUCCCUGUGGCAGAGAUAGAUAAAUGCAUUAAAGUCUUCUGGAGAAGUAACCAGCUCUAUUUCCAUUUGUUGAGAUUCAAGGAGAUGUGGUGUUUCAACAUUAAUCGGUUGCUGGAGGGAAAGAAGUAGUAUAGACUUUAAUGUUUUAAUUUUAUUGUCCCAAUACUGAUAAUGUCAUAAUGAAGGUCAUUAAAAUGUGAAAAGGCAUAU
rnacentral:lncRNA from 1 species